rnacentral:rRNA from 1 species
AUUGAACGCUGGCGGCAUGCCUUACACAUGCAAGUCGAACGGCAGCACGGGUGCUUGCACCUGGUGGCGAGUGGCGAACGGGUGAGUAAUACAUCGGAACGUACCUUAUCGUGGGGGAUAACGCAGCGAAAGUUGCGCUAAUACCGCAUACGCCCUGAGGGGGAAAGCGGGGGACCGUAAGGCCUCGCGCGAUUAGAGCGGCCGAUGUCUGAUUAGCUUGUUGGUGAGGUAAAAGCUCACCAAGGCGAUGAUCAGUAGCUGGUCUGAGAGGACGAUCAGCGACACUGGGACUAAGACACGGCCCAGACUCCUACGGGAGGCAGCAGUGGGGAAUUUUGGACAAUGGGGGCAACCCUGAUCCAGCAAUGCCGCGUGAGUGAAGAAGGCCUUCGGGUUGUAAAGCUCUUUUGUCAGGGAAGAAACAGCAGCUCUAACACAGUCUGCGAAUGACGGUACCUGAAGAAUAAGCACCGGCUAACUACGUGCCAGCAGCCGCGGUAA